rnacentral:rRNA from 1 species
GAUCAUGGCUCAGGAUGAACGCUGGCGGCGUGCCUAACACAUGCAAGUCGAACGAGAUGCGUAUUGGAAAGCUUCGGCCGGAAGAUGCGUUAUCUAGUGGCGGACGGGUGAGUAACACGUGGGUAACCUGCCUUAUGGAGGGGGAUAACAGAGAGAAAUCACUGCUAAUACCGCAUAAGCACACAUUGCCGCAUGGCAGAGUGUGAAAAGAUUUAUCGCCAUAAG